rnacentral:rRNA from 1 species
CCUACGGGAGGCAGCAGUGAGGAAUAUUGGUCAAUGGGCGCUAGCCUGAACCAGCCAAGUAGCGUGAAGGAUGACUGCCCUAUGGGUUGUAAACUUCUUUUAUAUGGGAAUAAAGUGCAGUAUGUAUACUGCUUUGCAUGUACCUUAUGAAUAAGGAUCGGCUAACUCCGUGCCAGCAGCCGCGGUAAUACGGAGGAUCCGAGCGUUAUCCGGCUUUAUUGGGUUUAAAGGGAGCGUAGGCGGGUUGUUAAGUCAGUUGUGAAAGUUUGCGGCUCAACCGUAAAAUUGCAGUUGAUACUGGCAGCCUUGAGUACAGUAGAGGUAGGCGGAAUGCGUGGUGUAGCGGUGAAAUGCUUAGAUAGCACGAAGAACUCCGAUUGCGAAGGCAGCCUGCUGGACUGUAACUGACGCUGAUGCUCGAAAGUGUGGGUAUCAAACAGGAUUAGAUACCCCGGUAGUC